CCUACGGGAGGCAGCAGUGGGGAAUCUUGGACAAUGGGGGCAACCCUGAUCCAGCGACGCCGCGUGGGUGAUGAAGGCCUUCGGGUUGUAAAGCCCUUUUGUCGGGGAGGCGGUACCCGGCGAAUAAGCACCGGCUAACUCCGUGCCAGCAGCCGCGGUAAGACGGAGGGUGCUAGCGUUGUUCGGAAUUACUGGGCGUAAAGGGCGCGUAGGCGGCCCUGUCAGUCGGAUGUGAAAGCCCGGGGCUCAACCCCGGAACGGCAUCCGAGACGGCAGGGCUGGAGACCGGGAGAGGAGAGUGGAAUAGCCAGUGUAGAGGUGAAAUUCGUAGAUAUUGGCUGGAACACCGGUGGCGAAAGCGGCUCUCUGGCCCGGUCUGACGCUGAGGCGCGAAAGCGUGGGGAGCAAACAGGAUUAGAUACCCUUGUAGUC
rnacentral:rRNA from 1 species